CCAUGUUCCCCACGGGGGAGGAUGAGAAGCUUCGACCUCGAAGGUUUGACCCGAAGGGUGAGUCGCAAAGCGACGAAAAAUCCUUCCCACUCAGCAA
rnacentral:sRNA from 1 species